UCUUCUCAUUUUUCUUAGUUUUUAGAAAUCAGCUACCCAGGAAAAAUGACUUUUACUCCCAUGAGCCGCCUUCUGAGGAUCCUCCCCCAGAGACCGGAGCGUCCGUGCGCCUCCAGCUCCAGUCCGGGGCUCAGCUCUGCAGGGUGUGCGGCUGUUUAGGCCCCAAGACGUGCGCGCGCUGUCGCCAGGCGCAUUACUGCAGUAAGGACCACCAGGCUGUGGACUGGAGGUGCGGGCAUAAGCAGGCGUGUAGACAGGCAGGUAAUGUGGACAGUACAGUUCCAGAUCACAACUUCCUUUUUCCAGAAUUUGAAA